rnacentral:rRNA from 1 species
GACGAACGCUGGCGGUGUGCUUAACACAUGCAAGUCGAACGGUAAGGCCCUUUCGGGGGUACACGAGUGGCGAACGGGUGAGUAACACGUGAGUAACCUGCCCUCAUCUCUGGGAUAACAGUCGGAAACGGUUGCUAAUACUGGAUAUGAGCUUGCAAGGCAUCUUGUGGGUUGGAAAGAUUUUUUUUGGUUGGGGAUGGACUCGCGGCCUAUCAGCUUGUUGGUGAGGUAGUGGCUCACCAAGGCUUCGACGGGUAGCCGGCCUGAGAGGGCGACCGGCCACAUUGGGACUGAGAUACGGCCCAAACUCCUACGGGAGGCAGCAGUGGGGAAUAUUGCACAAUGGACGGAAGUCUGAUGCAGCAACGCCGCGUGCGGGAUGACGGCCUUCGGGUUGUAAACCGCUGUCAAUUGUGACGAAGCUUUUUUGUGACGGUAGCAGUAGAAGAAGCACCGGCUAACUACGUG